CGGACGGGUGAGUAACACGUGGGCAACCUGCCUGUAAGACUGGGAUAACUCCGGGAAACCGGAGCUAAUACCGGAUACUAUGUCAAACCGCAUGGUUUGACAUUCAAAGACGGUUUCGGCUGUCACUUACAGAUGGGCCCGCGGCGCAUUAGCUAGUUGGUGAGGUAAUGGCUCACCAAGGCGACGAUGCGUAGCCGACCUGAGAGGGUGAUCGGCCACACUGGGACUGAGACACGGCCCAGACUCCUACGGGAGGCAGCAGUAGGGAAUCUUCCGCAAUGGACGAAAGUCUGACGGAGCAACGCCGCGUGAGUGAUGAAGGUUUUCGGAUCGUAAAACUCUGUUGUCAGGGAAGAACAAGUGCCGGAGUAACUGCCGGCGCCUUGACGGUACCUGACCAGAAAGCCACGGCUAACUACGUGCCAGCAGCCGCGGUAAUACGUAGGUGGCAAGCGUUGUCCGGAAUUAUUGGGCGUAAAGCGCGCGCAGGCGGUUUCUUAAGUCUGAUGUGAAAGCCCCCGGCUCAACCGGGGAGGGUCAUUGGAAACUGGGAAACUUGAGUGCAGAAGAGGAGAGUGGAAUUCCACGUGUAGCGGUGAAAUGCGUAGAGAUGUGGAGGAACACCAGUGGCGAAGGCGACUCUCUGGUCUGUAACUGACGCUGAGGCGCGAAAGCGUGGGGAGCGAACAGGAUUAGAUACCCUGGUAGUCCACGCCGUAAACGAUGAGUGCUAAGUGUUAGAGGGUUUCCG
rnacentral:rRNA from 1 species